UACGGAAGGCAGCAGUGGGGAAUAUUGCACAAUGGGCGCAAGCCUGAUGCAGCCAUGCCGCGUGUAUGAAGAAGGGCCUUCGGGUUGUAAAGUACUUUCAGCGGGGAGGAAGGCGGUGAAGUUAAUAGCUUCACCGAUUGACGUUACCCGCAGAAGAAGCACCGGCUAACUCCGUGCCAGCAGCCGCGGUAAUACGGAGGGUGCAAGCGUUAAUCGGAAUUACUGGGCGUAAAGCGCACGCAGGCGGUCUGUCAAGUCGGAUGUGAAAUCCCCGGGCUUAACCUGGGAACUGCAUUCGAAACUGGCAGGCUAGAGUCUUGUAGAGGGGGUAGAAUUCCAGGUGUAGCGGUGAAAUGCGUAGAGAUCUGGAGGAAUACCGGUGGCGAAGGCGGCCCCUGGGACAAAGCUGACGCUCAGGUGCGAAAGCGUGGGGAGCAAACG
rnacentral:rRNA from 1 species